GGGCGCAAUGAUAUUGGAACGUUUGUAUACAAGGAAAUAAGGACUACGUUGUACGUCCUUAUUUCCGGUUGCGGUGUGUUAUGCUAACACUGUUAGCCGUUUGAGCUUCCGGUGGGCGUUGACGUACAUCAAACUGUACACAGUGGCUACAUGUGAUUGAUUUAAAAGGGUUCUUCCAAGCUGUGUACAAGGAGGAGUUUGGCAGGAGUCAAAGGUCAUUCUGGUCCCAUCAACUGUGUGGCGUUCCACCCUGACUGCAAGAGAGUGCAAUGGAGAAGCAACUUUAUUUGAAGCAGAUCACUUGUUGAGUAAGUAUUUUACUGGAAAGUGUUAUUCAGCUCAUAAUAAGGCAUGUUU